rnacentral:tRNA from 1 species
GAGAGAUGGCUGAGUCAGGUUGAAGGCGCUGGUCUUGAAAACCAGAGUAGGGGUAACUCUACCGAGGGUUCGAAUCCCUCUCUCUCC